AUCCUAAUACAGGGGGGGAGUGACAAGAAAUAACAAUACAGGACUUUUCGGUUUUGUAAUUGGAAAGAGUUAAGUAUAAACCCCUUUACAAGUAUCAAUUGGAGGGCAAGUCUGGUGCCAGCAGCCGCGGUAAUUCCAGCUCCAAUAGCGUAUAUUAAAGUUGUUGCAGUUAAAAAGCUCGUAGUUGGAUUUUUGUUAAUACCUUAUAUAUAAUAUUUUUUUUUUAAAUAUUAAUAGGUAAGAUUAACAUAAUUCAUAUUUUUAAGACUGAAUUUUUAGUUUUGAUAAUAUGAAAUUUUACUUUGAGAAAAUUAGAGUGCUUAAAGCAGGCUUUUGCCUUGAAUACUCCAGCAUGGAAUAAUAAUAAAAAAUUUUUAUCUUUUUUUUAUUGGUUCUAAGAUAAAAAUAAUGAUUAAUAGGGACAGUUGGGGGCAUUUGUAUUUAACAGUCAGAGGUGAUAUUCUUAGAUUUGUUAAAGACAAACUAAUGCGAAAGCAUUUGCCAAGGAUGUUUUCAUUAAUCAAGAACGAAAGUUAGGGGAUCGAAGACGAUCAGAUACCGUCGUAGUCUUAAC
rnacentral:rRNA from 1 species